UGAAUACGGUGAUAAGAGUUUGACGCUGUAGUGUGGAGAACUGUGGCUCCACAGUGUCAGAUGGAUCCAGUUACGACGUCCAGUGUUGUGAUACAUGCAACUACACAGUGACAACAACUCCAACUACUACAACUCCAAUUACUACUACAAGUCCAACUACUACUACUACUACAAGUCCAACUACUACUCCAACUUCAACAAUUCCAACUACUACUACAACUCCAACCACAACUCUCACUACUACUACAACCCCAACUACUACAUCUCCAACUACCACAACUCCAUCUACUACUACAACUCCUACUACUACAACAACUUCAACUGCUACAACGACUACAACUUCAACUGCUACAACGACUAUAAGUACUCCAACCCGUACAACGGCAACCACCAUUGUCACAGUUAACACAUCAGCCACCACGUGUAUGGAUUCUGGCAGAUUCGGUGGUGUAGACUGUUCCCAGUUUGUUGAUAAAGAAGGCAAGGCGAUGUGUUACAACUCCACCGUCAGAGAUGUAUGCUGCACCACGUGUACCAGUAUUGCAACGUCGGAGCAAGAUUGCCAAUAUGGUGACAGAGAUCCGAAUUUCUGCGACGGUGUGACUCCAGAUCGACUUGAUUGUCGGACGAUAGAUCGAAUAUGCUGCCGAUCUUGUAGAUUUUAUUCUGGGACUUCCCGUCUACAUGCUAAUCGUAUUAUGUUAUUUUCACUGUUACUAGUUUUUGUAGUUCAUAAAGCUUCUGACUGAAAAUAAGCAUGCAUCAGUCCUUUUUUAUGUAGCAGUAUAUAAUUUUCUCCCCUGUCGCUCGCGGAAAGAGUUGGCUCUUUUUUGCUAAGAUUCCUGAAUGUAGGCUUGGUAUUAGCGAUAUGAAAUAAUUUCGUAAGCUUAGUGAUAGUAAAUUUCAGCAUUUACUAUUGAUGUGACUUUUUUUUCCUCACCAGAAGUGCAGUCUGUUUGACUAUAAUGAGUGGAGGUCCGAUAUGCAUGCACCGGGUAGAAUGUGAAACAAGUAAAAUAAUUUGUCGACCCCAAAGAGAUCUGUGACCUGUAAUAAAUCUAAAUUAUUUGAUUUUUGUUUUAGUUCGUUUUAGGUUUUUAUAAUUUAAUGUGUUCAUUGUGUAGAAUGAAGCUGCAUGUAAAUGCUUA